rnacentral:rRNA from 1 species
CCAGCAGCUGCGGUAAUUCCGGCUCCAAUAGCGUAUAUUAAAGUUGUUGCAGUUAAAAAGCUCGUAGUUGAACUUCUGGCCAGAUGCCAAGGUCUCUCUGAGGCUUUGGUGUUCUAGGCCAUCCUCCCGGGAACCAUGGACUCACUUUAAUGGGAGCUAUGCGGAACGGGACUUUUACUUUGAAAAAAUUAGAGUGUUUCAGGCAGGCUUACGCCCGAAUAUUACAGCUGAGAAUAAUGGAAUAGGACUGAGUCCGUUUUGUUGGUUUUUACUGGAUUCGGUAAUGAUUAAAAGGGACAGUUGGGGGCAUUAGUAUUUAAUUGUCAGAGGUGAAAUUCUUGGAUUUAUUAAAGACUAACUAAUGCGAAAGCAUUUGCCAAGGAUGUUUUCAUUAAUCAAGAACGAAAGU